UUUUUUUUUAUAACCAGCCUUCCCAAGAGAAGAUGAGUGUUGUAGUGAUUCAUGAACAUCCACACAGCAAAGAUUGGAAAAAAAACCCUGGUGUAACAAACCUGCAGAUAAUCCUGAACCCUAGAAUUUCAGCUUGUUCUAUUACCAGUAUUUUCCUGGCCAUUUUAUUUAUUUAAAAUAAUUUUCUCAAUUAUUUUCUCCAGUAAAUCUUACUCCAAAUGAUAUACAGGGAAAAACAUUUUGGAGUGUAAAUCACUAUACCAAGCUUCAGGAUAUGGAGCUUUAGAGUAAAUCCACCAAUGAUCUGUUCCUGGGGAGGAGUCUGAGUAGCAGUUUUCAGUCUUGUGGGAGUUAAAGUGGAAAAUUAUGUGAUACCACCAUUAGGACAUAUGUAUCCAAAAAUAUUUGAGAUUUAUUCUGGGGAAAAGCUUUCCCAAAAUAAUGCAAGUUCAUAGUAAUUUCAGAUGACAAAGGUGUCAGUCUCAUGUACCAACACUGAAAUCCAUUUAUAGUGUAGAUUCACAUGCUUAACUGCAGUAGUUGGUUGUUCUUAACUAGUGGGAAAACUACAUGUACCUACCAUUUUUUAUUCAUCUUGUCUAGUUCAUCAGCCCCUUCAGCUUUAAAAUCAUAAAAGGUGGGGGUUUCUUUUUCCAUGCCCUUACUAAAAUUACAACUUAUCUCUACUUUCCUGCUGCCUCCAUCUAGUCAUCUUAUUAAAGAAUUUUCCACAUUGUCUGAAAAAUGAAGUGGUAAAAAUGUACAGAGAAAUUAAUCAAAGGUAAACAAAGGUAUCUACAGCAUGGAGCUGCUUUAUGGUAUUCUUAGGCUGUUUAUUAUGAAGCAUAUUUCCUGGUGAAGGAAACCUCUCUAUCUAAAAGACAACUUGGAAGCACAGACAGGGAAUGUAAUCAUGAUUUCUGCUGUAUCCUUUCAAUGCACAAUAAACCUUUUUAAUUUUUAAUACAUUUUUAGAUUAUGUAAGACAAGAAAGAAAAUAUUUUUUAAUAAUUCAUGUAUAGAAUAUUUAAGUUUUCUGGCCAAAAUUGCUAAAGCCUAAUGUCAGAUGUCAAUGGCAUGAACUCACACAGACAUUCUUGGCUUUCUCAGCAAUGACACAGCUUUCUCAGCCAUGUAUUGAGCAGCUAUUAAUUAAUGCUAAGGUGUUAGUGGAAAUGAUUAGCACCAAACUUCUUAUUGAAUGUUUUUUAAGCAAUAGGUAAUAUUUUUUUUAGCAUUUUAUCGGAGAAGAGUGGCUCAGCAAUAUGCAUUACUACUGUGGCCAUUGUGUCAUGUGGACUGCUCUCCUGAGGGGUUUGAGAAGAGAUCAUGGCAGAUCUAAGUCAAGCUCUAAUCUAAGGCCAGAUCUAACCUUUUUCUGGCCAAGAUUUUAAAAAGACUGUUAAGAGUAAAAAUGAUAUCAUAUGAUGAUUUGCUCUGUUAUUUCAGACACGCAGGAACUCAUGCUAGCAAAAGUAGUUGCGUGACUUCUGUCAUUUCAAAAUGUGAAUCAACUUCAGAUUUAUUUUCUUUAAUAACUGAAAAUAAAUAGUACUGUGCCAUGAUUUACCUUAUUGCCACGAGCAAAUUGAAACAGGAUUUAAAACAUAACAUGUCAAUAUCCCAAACAUGACAUAAUAGCAAACAAAAAAAAAAAGCCUUCUUUAAAGGGGAAACUGAUUUUCUAGUGUACAGGAAAAAUGCUAAAGGAGUUUUAACUGCAAUUUUAUUUUGUUUUUUGGACUGUCAGAAACUCUUUCACAGGACCUAUCAUAAGAGACUACUGAUAAAAGCCUUGUGGGCACAAGGUGAAGGGCACAGCUCAGCCGUGGGUCAGGACCUGCCUGUGCAGUGGAGGAACAAGAGCAUCCACAGACACAAGUGAUAAGAUUAACAGGGUCAUUCGCAGGAGCCUUGUGCUGGAAGAGUUAGGCAGAAGAUAAAAUACAAUUAUUUACCUUAGCUGAAUAUAGUGAUGCUUGCAGAAGACUUCUGAACGCCCAAAUGCAUGAGCAAUAAAAGGUGUUCUGGGAGGCACUACCUGACCUACUCACAGACCUCACCAUUCUGAGAUACAGGAGAUUGAUUUCCUCCAUAUCUUCUUACUCACAGGAAAUACGUCCACAACAUUCAUCCUUCCCUUAUUUCUGAGCUCUUAAAAGGUUCCAAACCCUACAGGUGAACAUCAGUAUGCACAUGGUGCACAAGAGUUACAUUUUGGCCAUCAUUUUCCUGUGCAUUUAGGUUUUUCCCAAGCAACUCUUACUUGAUUCUCAUCCAGCAAUAGAAGGUAUUUAUACCUUCCUUUCGUUAGCCUAAAUAACUUGCUCCUUUGGACCAGCUAUUUUUUUCCCAUUCUUGGCUCCAGCCCUCACCUCAGUGAGUAUUAUAAUGUUUAGGAAAAGAAAUCCAGCUGGUGGAACGAAGACUCUAUACAAAUUAAAUGGGAAACUUGCAGCAUGUCAGUUUUUUAUCUAAAUAGCAUUUAAGUCUGGAUUAAAAAACUACUAUGGCUUCAAGAUUUAAUUUAUAGGCACCUCUGACAAAAGACACUGAAAAUUGUGAGGAUAUCUAUUCUAUCUCGAAGUACCUAAGACAGUAUCAGCCUAAAACUAGGGGCAUCUAAUGGCUGGCAUAUGAGAGACAUAAAAGUCUCCUGUUCUUGUUGCCUUCUCUUCAAGCUCAUUUGUGCUUUACAUGACAUAUCAGAGGCUGAAGCCUUCUGCAUUCAGGAAAUUUCUUUUCCCAAAAUAAGUCCCUCAAGUCCUCUUUGGGUCUUCAAAGAAUUUAUUGGCAUGAAAGAAUCAUAGAAUCACAGAAGGGACCUUAAAACCCAUCCCGUCCCACCCCCUGCCAUGGGCGGGGACACCUUCCACUAUCCCAGGUUUCUCCAAGCCCUGUCCAAAGUGGCCUUGAACACUUCCAGGGAUGGGGCAGCCACAACCUCUCUGGGCAACAUGUGCCAGGGCCUCACCACCCCCACAGCCAAGAAUUUCUUUCCAAUAUCCCAUCUAAACCUGCUCUUUUCCAGUUUAGACCCGUUUCCCCGUGUCCUAAUCCAAACAAAGAUGACCAUCUUGCCCAUUUUGAGCUUUGCCCAAAAAAGUUCUUUCGUGUGAGUCAAAACAUGAAAGAACUAUUUCAUCUGGAAGGUUCUUAAUGUUUUUUACAAUACGUAAUACCUAAAUGGUAAUUUGUAAAAAUUAUUCCCUGAAUAGAAACUUUAUUUCAUCAUCUAUCAAGGUUUUAAUAUAUAACAGCAGCUUCUUGAGGGUUUUGGGUUUUUUUCCAUUCUUUCUCUGCCUUCUUUUUCUUCCUUGGCAUAAUAAUGCUUGACAAGAAAUCUAGAGAGAAAACUAUAAUUACAUUAUGUCUUUUUUAUCUUUACUGGAAUAUAACAUAACACUAAAAAAUGUCUUCAAAUCAGGUUUUAGAAAGUUAAAAAGAAAGGACUGUGAAGGAAUUAGAAGACUCCCACAGAAGCUUUAUAGGAAGUAGUGCCAAUCACAUAUACAUUGUUGGGUUUACAUUAACAGUCCCUUUUACGCUGGUGGGAAAUUCACACCACCAUUUAUUCCUAAAGUAUAAAAUCCUACACUGAGGGAAGGACAGGCAUUUUCAUGGAAAGCAUCAGAGUUUCACCCAGAAUGUGUGAUAUCUGUCAAAGGUAUGUAAUAUUUGGAAUUGCCUACGAAAUUUCUUCCUCCCUUCCAACUGCCCACAUGGGUUUCCAUCAGCUCACUGGUUUUGGUACUAGAUAUGCCUGCUGUGAGCUAAUUAUGAUCAGUAAGUGAAUGCAAAUGGUAUUCUGUUCUGAUUCAGUCAGCAUGAAAACACUUUAUGGCACAAGUAUUACUGUCAGUGAGAAUGGGAAUUUUAUUUCCCUUGAAUUCUCUGUUGGUUCAUUUUGGACUAGGCAACCCAAGAAUAAAUGGGAUAGUAGCAUGAUUGGAAAAAAAAGUAACUAAAACUGAAAAAAACAUGCAGCAUUGGGCUGGCUCUUCUACUAUUAGGGCUAAGGCUUUUAUAUUAUAUAUAUUAUAUGGUUUUAUUCAUAUUUAUGCAUAUAACUAGGCUCAGCUUGGCUAUAAAGCACUUCACUGCUCCUGUUAACUUUCAUGGUAUGACAGGCAUUACCUCUACAGAAAUCAGCCACAAACUGAUGUCUCCUACAGGCUUCUACACAAAUCUAGUAGCGUUAGCUAAUUUAAUUCACAGAGAUUGAGUUCUUUAAUUUCUUACAGAUCCAAGUGGCCACUAAAGUGGGAGAUAACUCUUUCCAAAUCUUCAUGUCUUCUACAGACUCUUGGACUCCUCUGUACCAAUGUAUUUUCCAGUUCUGGGAACAUCCAACACAUGUGUUUGUGUGACAAGAAGAUACCUCGGCAACUCAUCCCUGUUUUCCAGUACCAUCCCUCCCUUAGUUCUGAGAUUCUGGGAAGAGCUAUGAGUGGGAAAGGAAGUGGAAGAAAUGAGAAAGUUUGAGGUGAAUGAUCUAAUAACAAUUAGAGAAUCUUCCAGAAUAAGAGUCAGAUCCUUUAUUCUGAAGAAAACUUAUUCAAAGUCAGACAGAAGUGAAUCUUUACCAGUAUCAGAGGAGAUCUUGGCAGGAGGAAGCCUCAAGCACCUAAAGGUCCUCCUGAAGGAGCCAGCAAUGAGUCCUUGCAACCAGGGAACACUUUGAUAGUCAGUGCUUGCACCCACACAGCAGUAAGCACAAGCAUUACAUUUAUUUGAGAAGAUAUGGGAAAAUCAUGAAGACCCUUCUGCAUUGCACAGGACAUGGGAAAAUCCUCAAGUCAAAAUCCAAAAUCUCCAGGUCUCGGCAGGUCAGACUUGGGCAGAUGGUUUGUUUUGCCUCAGUUCAAGUUGGCAAUGAUGUUCACCACCAAUAGAAAGCCAGAAAAUGUUAUCAUGGCCAGGAUGUGCUUUUGAAAUGUUCUUGGAUCCAAAGGGAAGUGAGCAGCCAAGGAUGAGUCUCAGGAUGUUGCUGUCGCCUUGCACCAUCAGGGGCUACUCCACCCUUCUCCUGCACAACCACCUGCUAAAACAACCAGUUGAAACCACACCUGUAACAUCAGAGAAGAGACCAGCAAUGAGCAGAAAUGUGAGAAAGUGUAAUUCUGGAGACAGGAGAGACAUGGACAUGCAUCACUUGUUUACAGAAAUCAAAUUGCUCAGUUUCUUUGUAUCUGUGUUUUUUCUCACCUGUAAAACCAGCACGAUUUUGGCACUUGUUUGUUGCUGUUGCAGACUUACUUUGCUACAAUAGGAUGUUCAAGAAGUUUAGAUUUUAUCCUUUCUCAAAACAAAAAUGAAGUAUCAAAACCUCUUCUUUCUGUGGUUGCAAAAUGAAAGUUCUGUUUUAUAGCCAUGUCCAAAAAUGAGCAACUGAAGUUUUCAAACUAAUUGGAAGCACAGAAUUAAGGCACCUUAGAACAAUUUUGUCUUUGAAGAAGCAGGCAGGCAAUCUUUCAUGAAAGACUUCAGCAAAGACAUUUGCCCCCUCCACCAAGAUAGUCUGAUGCAGUCCAGAUGUUUGCUGUAUGCUGGGUGUGUACCUUCUGCCUCUGAUGAAGAAAUCAAUCCAGACGUCCUUGGGUUCCUUUCCUUUUACAGCUUAAGAGGAUUUAAACCUGUUUUGUCCUGAACUGUCUACUCACAUUAUCAUUAGGGAUGGGCAAAUCGCCAUAGGAAGGAAAGGCUGGCGUAGGUCGGGACUGAAAGUUUGGUUACCUAGGCAAACUCAGCCAAAACACUCAGGAAUUCAAAGGUUUUUAGCUAGGAAGAAUAUAAUAAAUGCAUAGCUUUUAAUUUCUGGUUUUGAAAAAAAACCACGACCUUUCUUA